rnacentral:rRNA from 1 species
UCUCCUACGGGAGGCAGCAGUGAGGAAUAUUGGUCAAUGGGCGAGAGCCUGAACCAGCCAAGUCGCGUGAGGGAGUACUGCCCUAUGGGUUGUAAACCUCUUUUGUCGGGGAGCAAAAGCCGGACGUGUCCGGCUGUGAGAGUACCCGAAGAAAAAGCAUCGGCUAACUCCGUGCCAGCAGCCGCGGUAAUACGGAGGAUGCGAGCGUUAUCCGGAUUUAUUGGGUUUAAAGGGUGCUCAGGCGGGAGAUUAAGUCAGCGGUAAAAUGUCGGGGCUCAACCCCGGCCGGCCGUU